rnacentral:rRNA from 1 species
AGCUUGCUAAGGCUGAUGGCGACCGGCGCACGGGUGAGUAACACGUAUCCAACCUGCCGUCUACUCUUGGCCAGCCUUCUGAAAGGAAGAUUAAUCCAGGAUGGCAUCAUGAGUUCACAUGUCCGCAUGAUUAAAGGUAUUUUCCGGUAGACGAUGGGGAUGCGUUCCAUUAGAUAGUAGGCGGGGUAACGGCCCACCUAGUCAACGAUGGAUAGGGGCUCUGAGAGGAAGGUCCCCCACAUUGGAACUGAGACACGGUCCAAACUCCUACGGGAGGCAGCAGUGAGGAAUAUUGGUCAAUGGGCGAUGGCCUGAACCAGCCAAGUAGCGUGAAGGAUGACUGCCCUAUGGGUUGUAAACUUCUUUUAUAAAGGAAUAAAGUCGGGUAUGCAUACCCGUUUGCAUGUACUUUAUGAAUAAGGAUCGGCUAACUCCGUGCCAGCAGCCGCGGUAAUACGGAGGAUCCGAGCGUUAUCCGGAUUUAUUGGGUUUAAAGGGAGCGUAGAUGGAUGUUUAAGUCAGUUGUGAAAGUUUGCGGCUCAACCGUAAAAUUGCAGUUGAUACUGGAUGUCUUGAGUGCAGUUGAGGCAGGCGGAAUUCGUGGUGUAGCGGUGAAAUGCUUAGAUAUCACGAAGAACUCCGAUUGCGAAGGCAGCC